AGUUUCAAAAGUGACGUGGCAUUCUUGGUUUGUUCUCUUCUUAUUUUACUAAAAAGACAAUGAGGAUAUCAAAGAAAGACUUGAGGAGCCACUCAUCGUCUGAGUCCACCUAAAGGCCUCUCCAUACUCGAGAAUGAUUUCAUGCGAUGUGGACCAGGAUCAGUCAUGACGGAUACUUUGCACAUGACCUGACCUGUAUACUGCUGCCUUAAAUGCACUUGAAACCUCAUCACCUGGACUGGAUCCAGCUGCGAACUCAGAUUAAAUUAAAUGAUCUACUAUCGAUGGGUUAAAUCCUGUUGAAAGAAAGAAAGCAAAACAAGAGGUGGAAUUCUGUGUGUUUGUUAUGGAUCUGUUGUUUUCAGGUUUUGAGUUGGUCUUCAUCAUCAUUGCUUUCACUAUUAUGUGCUUAUUUGGCCUGGCUGCUGUCUACACAUACAAUACAAAUCAUCAAGAUGACUACAUUCAAACAGAACAGAAGAUAAUACAACAAAAGAGUAACUCAAUGAAGAAACAGCGAGGCAUUACCAAAACCAAUCAGGAGCUACCAUGAACACACAAACAAACCUGGUGCACCAAAUGCAGCUAACCACUUUAUGAAGAUCUCUGACACUGAAAAUGGACUUGCUGUCGAGCCCAUCUUUAGGUUGAGCCUCAAGACCAGCUGCCUCCGAUUGGCUUGAAUGCAUGACCCUAUUUAUUAACCAGUGAAGAAAGGCAAAGAGGAUUUAUUGAAAUCGAAACCCCUCCCCUUUCCCCGCCUAAAUCUACUUAUCAUUUGUAAUAUAAUGAUUUAAAUCCUGUCUGGAGCAGCUUUUAUUUUUUCACACAGCUUAUGCUUUGGUGGAUAAACUGCUUCUAAAGUUUCUGGCUGGUGGUGGCCAUUGGCAAUAAAAAUAGGAAAAUAUAUUGUUGAAUGUAUAUUGUGCAAAUAUUUUAUACAUAUAGUAUAUUUAUAGUGAUGUUGUACUAUUUAUAUAAUGCAUUUCCUUUGUAUUUUAUUUAUUUUUCCACAAGUAUUUUUUGGCUUUUUUUAUAUAUUACAAAAUAUGAACAUUGUCCAGAAUAUAUAUAAAUAUAUAUGAAUAAAUUUUCUGUUAUAAUCUGUCCCUUUUGCUGUGCCCUAACACAAGGCAGUUAACACCACUGUGCUGCAGGACAACUACCAUAUAGUCUUCUGUAAUUUACAUUGCACAAAAAGAUCUGCUAACUAAUUGCUGACUUUGGAUUAUGGCAUUAAGAUACACUCAUCUGGAUCUGGAGAAGAUUUUACACUGUUUCUAAUUAUGUAUGGAAAGUGAGGUUACAUAGUGUCCUGUUUCAAGACCAUGUGCCCUGAUUGUUAAACAGCUACUUAAUUUCAAGUUUAACAGUUU